rnacentral:rRNA from 1 species
CCUACGGGUGGCAGCAGUGAGGAAUAUUGGUCAAUGGGCGCGAGCCUGAACCAGCCAAGCCGCGUGAGGGAUGACGGUCCUAUGUAUCGUAAACCUCUUUUGUCGGGGAGCAAAGCCCGCCACGUGUGCCCGGAAGAGGAUUACCCGAGGAAAAAGAAUGGGUGAAUUCCGUCCCAGCAGCCGCGGUAUUCCGGGGGUUGCGGCCGUUAUCCGGAUUUAUUGGGUUUAAAGGGUGCGUAGGGGGAAGGUUAAGCCAGCGGUAAAAGGUCGGGGCUCAACACCGGCCUGCCGUUGAAACUGGUCGGGUUGAGGUGGCGAGAAGUAUGCGGAAUGCGUGGUGUAGCGGUGAAAUGCAUAGAUAUCACGCAGAACUCCGAUUGCGAAGGCAGCAUACCGGCGCUCAACUGACGCUGAGGCACGAAAGCGUGGGGAUCGAACAGGAUUAGAUACCCGGGUAGUC